rnacentral:rRNA from 1 species
GACGUAGGGCGCGAGCGUUGUCCGGAUUUAUUGGGCGUAAAGAGCUCGUAGGCGGCUUGUCGCGUCGACUGUGAAAACCCGUGGCUCAACCAUGUGGUCUGCAGCCGAUACGGGCAGGCUAGAAUUCGGUAGGGGAGACUGGAAUUCCUGGUGUAGCGGUGAAAUGCGCAGAUAUCAGGAGGAACACCGGUGGCGAAGGCGGGUCUCUGGGCCGAUAUUGACGCUGAGGAGCGAAAGCGUGGGGAGCGAACAGG